GCAUCCAGUGCAUCGAGCUCUACCUUUCUAUCCGAACAAUUUCACUGGUUCAAGUUAGCUUCCGGAACUUAUGGGCUCAAGCUAUGGAGCAUAUGGGUAUGAUGCAGGUCGAGAGGCUCCUCGUUAGGCGUCU